rnacentral:rRNA from 1 species
GAUGAACGCUGGCGGCGUGCUUAACACAUGCAAGUCGAACGGAAAGGCCCAAGCUUGCUUGGGUACUCGAGUGGCGAACGGGUGAGUAACACGUGGGUGAUCUGCCCUGCACUUCGGGAUAAGCCUGGGAAACUGGGUCUAAUACCGGAUAGGACCACUUCUUGGAUGUUGUGGUGGAAAGUUUUUUCGGUGUGGGAUGAGCUCGCGGCCUAUCAGCUUGUUGGCGGGGUAAUGGCCUACCAAGGCGUCGAGGGGUAGCCGGCCUGAGAGGGUGUACGGCCACAUUGGGACUGAGAGACGGCCGAGGUGCCUACGGGAGGAAGAAGGGGGGAAGAUUGCACAAGGGGCGCAAGCCUGAUGCAGCGAGGCCGCGGGGGGGAUGACGGCCUUCGGGUUGUAAACUCCGUUCGCUAGGGACGAAGCGUUUUGUGACGGUACCUGGAGAAGAAGCACCGGCUAACUACGUG